GAUCUGGCGGGUCGGGUGGGGAAGAGGGUGGAGACGGCGCCUGGAGGUGGGAAGGCGGAGCGCCUGCACUGUGUUCUGGAUGCGGGGGCGUCAGCCUCUGCUUCCUAACUGCUCUGACCUUGGACAAGAGCUCAAACAAAGGGAUGAUUUGAAAAUGUAUCACCGGUAAUCCUCCUACACUGCCAGUGGGAAGGCCUUAGGUCAUGCGGAGAGCCGCUCCUCUCCUCCAGCUCCAGGCCACCUCAUUCUUUCCAGCACUCCCCAGAGGAAGUGAGAACAACACCCCCCAUGCCAGGAAACCAGCUGCAUAUUAGCCUGUGACCUAAUGGCUCAAG